rnacentral:rRNA from 1 species
UACAGAGGGUGCGAGCGUUGUUCGGAAUUAUUGGGCGUAAAGGGCGCGUAGGCGGUGCGGUAAGUCACCUGUGAAAUCUCCUGGCUCAACUGGGAGCUUGCAGGCGAAACUGCCGUGCUGGAGUGUGGGAGAGGUGAGUGGAAUUCCCGGUGUAGCGGUGAAAUGCGUAGAUAUCAGGAGGAACACCGGCGGUGUAGACGGCUUUCUGGACCGUAGCUGACGCUGAGACACGAAAGCGUGGGUAGCAAACAGG